CUUCGGUGAUGAGACGAUGACGAGUCGGAGCGGGUCUCGCUCUGGUCCUGGUGGCUUACUGGCUCAGACUCACGUUCUGUGGUUCUGAUCCGGUUCCUCAGAACCGCGAGGCCCUUCCAGUUGAAGACAUCGAGGCAUUUGUCUGAGAAGG
ensembl:snoRNA SNORD15 Small nucleolar RNA SNORD15